rnacentral:misc_RNA from 1 species
CUUUUUGUAUUUCUUAUUUAUUGGAAGUGAAUUACCGCAAUAAUAGUGGACUUGUGGAUACGAUAUACGGCGAAUAUAUUGAUAAGGAUAUUAAUAUGGAUAUAACAUCAAUGGAACUACUUUUCUGAAUUUGGGCUUAAUCGACUAUAAUUUUCUGUUGGCUCAGGAUGUUAGAUCAAAUAUAUCCGCGACUUUUGAUUCUACUUAUCGAUGUACAGGGAGCUGCGAAGACAAUAUCGGUACUUUUGAGCGAUAGUCGGAUCGAAUCCGGAGGUUAAAUGCCUUUAUUUUGAAAAUAACAAGCCGCCCAUAAAAUUGCAUUCAUUCAAAUAGUAACCACUCAACUUACCCACUUUUCAUCAUCAGCGAUCUCUUCUUUUUCCCUGAAGAACAUGUGUCCGACUCGAACUACACAGAAAGCGACAGAAGUAACGAAACUCCUGGUGCUAAAAAAUGAAGCCGCAAAGAUGCUACCUUUACAAAGACAGUGCUGCCAAUGCAGGGACAGAAAAUAUAUAUUGUUUUCGCCGGCUUUGCCAAUCGGAAUAGGCCAAACAUUUGUUCACAAAUUGUCAACAAAUCAGGCAGUUAAUAGUCAGUUCAUUCGCUGUAUUUUCAGUUGUAAUUUCCUUCUGGAUUGUUCGCAUCCUCCCUGAAGAAAGCAACGCGUGGAUUCUGCCGAAGACCAAUCCAAGAAGAAGUGAAAAGUGAACAAAUUGCACUGUAAUUCGAAUUCCUUUCAUCAAUUAGUGCACAUACAAUGAACGGUCAGAAUCGCAAGAGGAAGUGGCAAGCUGGGCGCGGUGAGGAUCUCACCCCCGACGACCGUAUUGAACUGAUUGCCGAGUUGAUGGCUAAACUAGACGGAGUCAAUUUCGUCGCCGACUUUUUCCGCAUCCGUCGACUGAAACUGCUGAUCACCGACUGCCUGCCCGACCAAAAGGAGCAGCUGCUACGCAUUCUCAUAGGCUAUGUGAACCGGCCCCCCAGCCCGGCCACAGCUAGCUACGCCAAAAUUGUGAAUCUCCUCAGCAAAGACAUUGGUUCCCUGAUGGUCGACUGCAUCCGCGCCCUGAAGGCGGUCCAAGAGAAGGCACUCAUCGAUGGCAAGUGGGACAACGCGCGCGGCCUGGAGUGCUUCUUAGCUGAGCUAAGCAAGUGACAUAGCAGAGAAGGGCCCUGGCUAUGCAGUUUGAUCACUGCACUGCCCCUGUUCGGCCACGAUACGUUGUACAUAUCAAACUCUCGGUAAACAAAACAUAGCAUAUUCAAUAACACGAGCCUAAGACACGAGGCUAACAAACGAGCCUAAUAAACGAAGAAUCUAGGCAACGAUAUUGGUGCACUUUAA